GACGGUAUCUUUAACAGAUGUGCAGAACGU
rnacentral:piRNA from 1 species